rnacentral:rRNA from 1 species
ACGUAGGUGGCAAGCGUUGUCCGGAUUUAUUGGGCGUAAAGCGAGCGCAGGCGGUCUUUUAAGUCUGAUGUGAAAGCCCUCGGCUUAACCGAGGAGGGUCAUUGGAAACUGGGAGACUUGAGUGCAGAAGAGGAAAGUGGAACUCCAUGUGUAGCGGUGGAAUGCGUAGAUAUAUGGAAGAACACCAGUGGCGAAGGCGGCUUUCUGGUCUGUAACUGACGCUGAGGCUCGAAAGCGUGGGGAGCAAACAGGAUUAGAUACCCUGGUAGUCCACGCCGUAAACGAUGAGUGCUAAGUGUUGGAGGGUUUCCGCCCUUCAGUGCUGCAGCUAACGCAUUAAGCACUCCGCCUGGGGAGUACGACCGCAAGGUUG